GACGAACGCUGGCGGCGUGCUUAACACGUGCAAGUCGAACGGAAAGGCCCUGCUUUUGUGGGGUGCUCGAGUGGCGAACGGGUGAGUAACACGUGAGUAACCUGCCCUUGACGUUGGGAUAACGUCAGGAAACUGGGGCUAAUACCGGAUAGGAGCUCCUGCUGCAUGGUGGGGGUUGGAAAGUUUCGGCGGUUGGGGAUGGACUCGCGGCUUAUCAGCUUGUUGGUGGGGUAGUGGCUUACCAAGGCUUUGACGGGUAGCCGGCCUGAGAGGGUGACCGGCCACAUUGGGCCUGCGAUACGGCCCAGACUCCUACGGGAGGCAGCAGUGGGGAAUAUUGCACAAUGGGCGGAAGCCUGAUGCAGCAACGCCGCGUGCGGGAUGACGGCCUUCGGGUUGUAAACCGCUUUCGCCUGUGACGAAGCGUGAGUGACGGUAAUGGGUAAAGAAGCACCGGCUAACUACGUG
rnacentral:rRNA from 1 species